rnacentral:rRNA from 1 species
GCUCGUCCGCUCAGGGUUAGUCGGGACCUAAGCCGAGGCCGAUAGGCGUAGGCGAUGGACAACAGGUAGAGAUUCCUGUACCAGUGCUAAUUGUUUAACCGAUGGGGUGACACAGAAGGAUAGGGAAUCGCACGAAUGGAAAUGUGCGUCCAAGCAGUGAGUGUGAGAAGUAGGCAAAUCCGCUUCUCGCGAAGCAUGAGCUGUGAUGGGGAAGGAAAUUAAGUACGGAAGUUCCUGAUUUCACGCUGUCAAGAAAAGCCUCUAGGAAGAGUAGUACUGCCCGUACCGCAAACCGACACAGGUAGAUGAGGAGAGAAUCCUAAGGUGAGCGAGAGAACUCUCGUUAAGGAACUCGGCAAAAUGACCCCGUAACUUCGGGAGAAGGGGUGCUCUAUUAGGGUGCAAGCCCGAGAGAGCCGCAGUGAAUAGGCCCAGGCGACUGUUUAGCAAAAACACAGGUCUCUGCAAAACCGUAAGGUGACGUAUAGGGGCUGACGCCUGCCCGGUGCUGGAAGGUUAAGAGGAGUGCUUAGCUUCGGCGAAGGUACGAAUUGAAGCCCCAGUAAACGGCGGCCGUAACUAUAACGGUCCUAAGGUAGCGAAAUUCCUUGUCGGGUAAGUUCCGACCCGCACGAAAGGCGCAACGAUCUGGGCACUGUCUCAACGAG